GUUUUUACAUUAAAAUGAUUAGUAGAAGAACGAAAGUUUAAUAAUGGUGGCUUAGUACAAUCUGAAAGGAUGUGGUGCCUAUGGGAGAAAUCUCUAACACUCAGAACUUACAGAAAGGAAAAGCAAUUUAUGACAGUGGUUGAGACCUUUCAAUUAAUGUUUCUUUUUGGAACAUUUAUUGUUGGGUUGCUAAACCUAGU
rnacentral:sRNA from 1 species